rnacentral:lncRNA from 1 species
GUUUUAAUGGGUGUAGGGUUAGUUGAUAUAGUGGUGAUGUUUUAAUGGGUGUAGGGUUAGUUAGUUGGUAUAGUGGUGAGGUUUUAAUGGGUGUAGGGUUAGUUGGUAUAGUGCUGAGGUUUUAAUGGGUGUAGGGUUAGUUGGUAUAGUGCUGAGGUUUUAAUGGGUGUAGGGUUAGUUGGUAUAGUGCUGAGGUUUUAAUGGGUGUAGGGUUAGUUGGUAUAGUGGUGGGGUUUUAAUGGGUGUAGGGUUAGUUGGUAUAGUGCUGAGGUUUUAAUGGGUGUAGGAUUAGUUGGUAUAGUGCUGAGGUUUUAAUGGGUGUAGGGUUAGUAUCUAUAGUGGUGAGUUUUAAUGGGUGUAGAGUUAGUAUCUAUAGUGGUGAGUUUUAAUGGGUGUAGGGUUAGUAUCUAUAGUGGUGAGUUUUAAUGGGUGUAGGGUUAGUAUCUAUAGUGGUGAGUUUUAAUGGGUGUAGAGUUAGUAUCUAUAGUGGUGAGUUUUAAUGGGUGUAGGGUUAGUUGGUAUAGUGCUGAGGUUUUAAUGGGUGUAGAGUUAGUAUCUAUAGUGGUGAGUUUUAAUGGGUGUAGGGUUAGUAUCUAUAGUGGUG